rnacentral:rRNA from 1 species
AUGCUAUUUAAGAUCGCCAACCCCUCCUCUGCCGAUUUUUGGCAAAACCCCUCGCUCCCAUGCCCUAUCUCGCCCGUACCAGAAGAUCGGAUCUCGUCGGAGUUGCGUGCCCGACAGAAGCUUUCGCCGUCGUUUCGGUCGUCUCUGAAGGAACCCCUGGAACGACUCAAUAGAGCUCGAUCAGGAGCCCUCGCCGUCGCUGCGACUUCAGCCGCACGUCAUCACCACCAGAGGACGGGACCGUCGCAGAAGAGAACGAAUUCAACGUCUACAGGAAUGUCCGCCUCCAGUAGAGUCCUUCUUGAGCUCGGGGGACCACCGCAAACGUCUCCACCGUCGAGGUCCGAGCCGCCGAGGUCUUCUUCUCCAAGUCCGGCGAUGCCUUUCCCUUUGUUCCGCGAUUGUCCCGAGUGCGAAGCAGAUCAUGACUAA